CCCUUUUAAGGACGAGAAGCUCCAAGGCAAUGGAUUCAGCAAAACCGACAGCUGCAAACUUGCUCGCACAAUAAUCUGUGAACAAAGCAGGAGUUGUUGCGUGGUGUUACUGAGCUGUCCACAGGGAUACAGACACUUGCCUGCCAAACCGUUCAUGGCAAGAAGCCCUCCAUGGCAGGCCACGGACACAAGGUGGCCAUGGUUACGGGACACCAUGGCUGGGAGAAAAGCUUUGUAGGUCUGAAAAGUAAAACAUCAAAAAAAAAACUAAGGGAAAAAAAUAAUUGGAAUUUACGUUAGAUAGUCUAUUGUUCAAUAUUGUAACACAAACAAGUUAGUUUAUGUCAGGUUUUUUGGCUCUGCUGAAAUUAAAGUUCUGAAAUUACGAAUGUGAAAUACUGAAAAUAAAAUAUUAUUUAAAAAAAAAUUAAAAAAACAAUGUUCUCGGGAAAUACUUGGAAAUGAGACAGACAAUGAGGAAGAAGUUUUAAGAAACAAGUAGUAACCACUCACCCAGAAAUGGGCAGCUACAUUUACCCUCAGCGUUCUGUCGAUCAGGUUGUCUGGGGCUUCUGUGAAAAAGUACUUGCCUGUUACCACACCUGCAUUGUUCACAAGAAUGGACACGUCCCCAACCUCCCUCUUCACCUUAUAACCAACAGAAAUGACUGUAAUUAGUUAUGAAUGUAAAGUAAAUGCAACCAAGGUGAGUCACAAGUAAGAAGAUCACAAGGUGAGGAAGGUAGUCACUGGCUGUGUGGGCAAAUGCAUUGGCAAUGCACGUUCCAGCAGUAAUUCUCUUUGAAUGGUAUGGGUGGCACAGCUGUAGCACUGAAAUAUUAUUCAGCGACUAAAAUGGGGAUGAGAAUUUAAAAAUAAAAAUAUAUGAAUCCACCAAUGGAUAGAAAGAUAUAUCUUGCAGUCAUUUUACCACUGGUACAGAAGCCUCCUAAAAAAAAGUAUACCAUGAAACAAUCCCUGAUAUCAAGUUUAGUAUACAUGAACUCCCUAAAUUGUGGAUUUUGAGAUGGCUGUUUCACUUUACAAUGCCAGUGCCGGUGAAAGGAUUUACCAGGUCUGCGACUUUGUAGACCUCCGUGCGUCUGCUGCAGUCGCAAGCGUAGGCGUAGACGCGCACGUCCAAAGUCCUCCUCAGCUCCUUGGCCGUCUUCUCCAGGGCCUCCCAGUUGACGUCCCAGAGGACCAAGGUGGCGCCGAGCUGACCCAUCUCCUCCGCUAUUCGCCUGCCGACGCCGUGGGCGGCCCCCGUUACCAGGACGAUCUCCCCUUCCACGUCCUUCCUGGGCGGCUGGACCAGCAGCCGGACGACGGCUUCGAAAAAAUAAAAGGCCGCCGCGAUAAUCAAGUCCACGAAGUCCUUCAGAAACCACAGAUUGUAGAGUAACCUCUCCAAGCACCGAAUUACUAUAUUGUGCAUCUUGCUUUACUGCUGCCUCUCUGCUGUGUGUCUUUGCUUUUGUCCCUCCCUUGGGUGGCAGUCUUGCCUAGGAAAUCUCAAUUUAGGAAACUGUUAUGUUAGGGCUGUUUUCUUCAUAUUUUUUGACCCAUUGACAUACUUUCUGCUAGCUCCCCUCCCAAAUAAAAAGUCUAAAGGCUACAUUCAGAUUUCCCCUGUCCUUCUGUCCUUAGUGCUGCUGCCAAUACUGUCAUCUGAGUGUGAUCUAUUUUUGGUAUCCUAUUUCAGCUGCGUCACACUGUUGUUUGCUUGACCUGCCACCCAGAGGACGUUCACUUGGAACCGUAUCAUGAUAUACCUUCCUCACAAUUAUCGGUACAGUUGACAGCCCAUUCAUGAGUGAUGAGGGUUUGAAUAUACACUUGGAGUUUCCAAUCCUAUGCUUCUCCGUUAAUUUAACACACUUGGGGACCACAUAAGGUCUUGUCCAAUGGGUUGUACUUUCCUGUGAACUUGUCAUGUUUUA